UACGUAGGGUGCAAUCGUUAAUCGGAAUUACUGGGCGUAAAGCGUGCGCAGGCGGUGAUGUAAGACAGGGGUGAAAUCCCCGGGCUUAACCUGGGAACUGCAUUUGUGACUGCAUCGCUGGAGUGCGGCAGAGGGGGAUGGAAUUCCGCGUGUAGCAGUGAAAUGCGUAGAUAUGCGGAGGGACACCGAUGGCGAAGGCAAUCCCCUGGGCCUGCACUGACGCUCAUGCACGAAAGCGUGGGGAGCAAACAGG
rnacentral:rRNA from 1 species